CCUACGGGAGGCAGCAGUGAGGAAUCUUUGUCAAUGGGCGAGAGCCUGAUCCAGCCACGUCGCGUGAAGGAAGACUGUCCUAUGGGUUGUACACCUCUUUUAUAUGGGAAUAAAAUGUUCCGCGUGUGGGAUUUUGUAUGUACCCUAUGAAUCAGGAUCGCCUAACUCCGUUCCAGCAGCCGCGGUACUACGGAGGAUCCGAGCGUUGUCCGGAUUUGUUGGGUUGAAAGGGAGCGUAGGGGGAUUGGUAAGUCAGGUGUGAAAGUGUUCGGCUCAACCGGAAGAGUGCAGUUGAAACUGGGAGUCGUGAGUACAGUAGAGGUGAGCGGAAUUCGUGGUGUAGCGGUGAAAUGCGUAGAUAUCUCGAAGAACUCCGAUGGCGAAGGCAGCUCACUGGACUGUAACUGACGCUGAGGCUCGAAAGUGUGGGUAUCAAACAGGAUUAGAUACCCGAGUAGUC
rnacentral:rRNA from 1 species